rnacentral:rRNA from 1 species
CGAAGGGGGCUAGCGUUGCUCGGAAUCACUGGGCGUAAAGGGCGCGUAGGCGGUUUUUAAGUCGGGGGUGAAAGCCUGUGGCUCAACCACAGAAUGGCCUUCGAUACUGGAAGACUUGAGACCGGAAGAGGACAGCGGAACUGCGAGUGUAGAGGUGAAAUUCGUAGAUAUUCGCAAGAACACCAGUGGCGAAGGCGGCUGUCUGGUCCGGUUCUGACGCUGAGGCGCGAAAGCGUGGGGAGCAAACAGGAUU